ACGCUCGACACCUACGUGAGGCAGCAGGUGGGGAAUAUUGCACAAUGGGGGAAACCCUGAUGCAGCGACGCCGCGUGAGUGAAGAAGUAAUUCGUUAUGUAAAGCUCUAUCAGCAGGGAAGAAAGUGACGGUACCUGAGUAAGAAGCCCCGGCUAACUACGUGCCAACAGCCGCGGUAAUCUGAGCGGGCUGGCAAGGC
rnacentral:rRNA from 1 species